GGGUUCAUCGGAAAUGCACCAUAGCCUGGAUGGGGAAUAUAAUUAUGAUGUGGCAUCGCAUUGUGAGGACUAGCUGCAUCAAACUUCUUUUCAGUCUGAGGCUUUGCAAGAACUACUUCUAACAUCUGACCAUUUACUUCAUAUGUUUCAGUGUCUUUGACAGCUUUCAGAGCGCUUGACCUUUCUGCAUAAUGGACAAAUCCAAAGUCUCGUUUACCACCAACCUUGGCUGGUGGCAUAACAACUCUGGUAACUUCACCAUGGCGUUGGAACAAUUCCUUCAAUUGUUCAGUAGGAGUGUUUUCUGGAAUGUUCUUCACAUAGAGUGCUUUGACCUGAGCAGCGGCAGAAGAAUGAUCAGGUGUAAUCUUCGGAUCAGCCCAGGUGACAGUUGGUGAAUUUCCCUCCAGCUUAAAGUUUGUACUUACCAUUUUUCUCCGAGAGUAAUCCGCACAGGCAUUAUUGUAAUAUUCAACAAAAGCAAAACCCCUAUUACGUGCUGGGUUUUGAGGAUCCUUUAUGAGUUCUAUUAAUUCUGCACCAGGACCAGUCCCAUCAAUGACUUUUCUGAAGUCAUCAUCAGACCAGCUCUUUGGUACAUUACCAAUGAACAAUCUGUAUUUAGUUUCUGACAGCGAACACCUUAAGGUUUUUCCCUUAUAUUCUUUGUUAUGCAAUUCUUCAAUAGUCUUUUGUGCCUCAUCUUUUGUUUUGAAUGCUACAAAGGCAAAACCCUUGCUUUCACCAGUAUCCCUAUUUCUCAUGACUCUGACCUCAUGUAUUUCACCGAGUGGUUCACAGAGAUCCCUCAAGUCUUCUUCAGAAACAUCUCGAGGAAUACCACCAAUAAAAACCUCAGACCCAUGUGGAGGGAGAGCUAGAAGUUCAGCAUGCUCUUUUUGUUCCUCUUCAGAAAGAGAAGCACUAGGCUUUUCUUCAUCUGCAGCAGGCUCCGAAACAUCACCCAUAUCUGCCUCUGGAGACUGCUCUCUCCCACUGUCUCCACCUCCAGAAUCAUAUGAUUGUUCUUCGCCAUUUUCAUCACCGACUUCUCCAGCUCCUUCAUCUUCUACCAGUUCUGCAUCUGCAUCUUCCUCUUCCUCAGAGUAAUUUUCAUCGUCAAGAUCCACACGGUCAUCAAUUUCAGUAUUCUCUGCCAUGACUGUUUCGUGUUGCAGAUUUUCUCAUACAACAAAUAAACAGGCCCAAAAUUAGACAAGUUUUUUGCUUAUCUGUGUUGUGUUUCUGCUUCUUUAGGAGGAGAGAGUUUGAAGGCG
rnacentral:misc_RNA from 1 species